rnacentral:rRNA from 1 species
UAAUACAGAGGGUGCGAGCGUUAAUCGGAAUUACUGGGCGUAAAGCGAGUGUAGGUGGCUCAUUAAGUCACAUGUGAAAUCCCCCGGGCUUAACCUGGGAACUGCAUGUGAUACUGGUGGUGCUAGAAUAUGUGAGAGGGAAGUAGAAUUCCAGGUGUAGCGGUGAAAUGCGUAGAGAUCUGGAGGAAUACCGAUGGCGAAGGCAGCUUCCUGGCAUAAUAUUGACACUGAGAUUCGAAAGCGUGGGUUGCAAACAGGAUUAGAUACCCUGGUAGUCCACGCCGUAAACGAUGUCUACUAGCCGUUGGGGUCCUUGAGACUUUAGUGGCGCAGUUAACGCGAUAAGUAGACCGCCUGGGGAGUACGGCCGCAAGGUUAAAACUCAAAUGAAUUGACGGGGGCCCGCACAAGCGGUGGAGCAUGUGGUUUAAUUCGAUGCAACGCGAAGAACCUUACCUGGUCUUGACAUAGUGAGAAUCCUGCAGAGAUGC